GACGAACGCUGGCGGCGUGCCUAAUACAUGCAAGUAGAACGCUGAAGGAGGAGCUUGCUCUUCUGGAUGAGUUGCGAACGGGUGAGUAACGCGUAGGUAACCUGCCUGGUAGCGGGGGAUAACUAUUGGAAACGAUAGCUAAUACCGCAUAACAGUAGAUGUUGCAUGACAUUUGCUUAAAAGGUGCAAUUGCACCACUACCAGAUGGACCUGCGUUGUAUUAGCUAGUUGGUGGGGUAACGGCUCACCAAGGCGACGAUACAUAGCCGACCUGAGAGGGGGAUCGGCCACACUGGGACUGGGACACGGCCCAGACUCCUACGGGGGGCAGCAGGAGGGAAUCUUCGGCAAUGGACGGAAGUCUGACCGAGCAACGCCGCGUGAGUGAAGAAGGUUUUCGGAUCGUAAAGCUCUGUUGUAAGAGAAGAACGAGUGUGAGAGUGGAAAGUUCACACUGUGACGGUAUCUUACCAGAAAGGGACGGCUAACUACGUG
rnacentral:rRNA from 1 species